rnacentral:rRNA from 1 species
UGGGGAAUAUUGGACAAUGGGCGAAAGCCUGAUCCAGCCAUGCCGCGUGUGUGAAGAAGGUCUUCGGAUUGUAAAGCACUUUAAGUUGGGAGGAAGGGCAGUAAGCGAAUACCUUGCUGUUUUGACGUUACCGACAGAAUAAGCACCGGCUAACUCAGUGCCAGCAGCCGCGGUAAUACAGAGGGUGCAAGCGUUAAUCGGAAUUACUGGGCGUAAAGCGCGCGUAGGUGGUUCGUUAAGUUGAAUGUGAAAGCCCCGGGCUCAACCUGGGAACUGCAUCCAAAACUGGCGGGCUAGAGUAGGGCAGAGGGGGGUGGAAUUUCCUGUGUAGCGGUGAAAUGCGUAGAUAUAGGAAGGAACACCAGUGGCGAAGGCGACCACCUGGGCUCAUACUGACACUGAGGUGCGAAAGCGUGGGGAGCAAACAGG